GCCUGACUGGCUCAGUUGGUAGAGCAUGCGACUCUUGAUCUCAGGGUUGUGGGUUUGAGCCCCAUGUUGGGUG